GACGAACGCUGGCGGUGGGCUUAACAUAUGCAAGUCGAACGGAAAGGGGCUGCUUCUGUGGGGUUCUCGAGUGGCGAACGGGUGAGUAAGACGUGAGUAAGCUGCCCUUGACUGUGGGAGGACUUCAGGAAACUAGGGUAAAUACUGGAGAGGAGCGCCGGCAGCACGGAGGGGGGGGGAUAGUUGCGGCGGUUGGGGAUGGACGCGCGGCUUAUCAGCUCGUUGGUGGGGUAGUGGCUUACCAAGGCUUGGACGGGUAGCCGGCCUGGGAGCGUGACCGGCCACAUUGGGCCUGCGGGACGGAGCAGACUCCUACGGGGCGCAGCGGUGGGGAAUCUUGCGCAGUGGGCCGGCGCCUGAUGAAGCAGCGCCGCGGUCGUAAUGUAGGCCUUCGGGUGGGAAACCGCGUUCGCCUAAGACGAAGACUGAGUGACGUUAAUCGGUGAAGAAGCACCGGCUAACUACGUG
rnacentral:rRNA from 1 species